AGAGAGGCCUUUCUUGAAUCUUAAGGAUCCCAAGCACUAUGCUCUCCACUACUCUCCCUUCUGGCUCGAAAGUUUGAAUGCUAACGAGAAGCUGAAGAACUUGGGGUCAAGGAAUUUCUUCCUGUGUUCAAAGCCCUCCACUGCCUCUUCUUGCUCCGAGCAAGCCAAUAUGAGUAAGGAUUCUGCAUUUCCAUUGAUGCUGUUCGUCCAUCUCCCCUUAUAAUUAUCCCACGUGAAUUUGUAUGUCCUUGUUUCCUCAAGCCCUUGUCGUCUUUGAUUCUGGGAACUAUCCGUAGCUGUUAAAUAAUUAAGAUAUUUAGCUGCACGCACACACACAGGUGCCUUUAAUCUGUUAGCCUCUACGUUGCAUUGGUAUGAUGAGACGAUUUA